CACGGGUGCGUAACGCGUGGGAAUCUGCCCCUUGGUUCGGAAUAACGGCUGGAAACGGUCGCUAAUACCGGAUGACGACGUAAGUCCAAAGAUUUAUCGCCGAGGGAUGAGCCCGCGUAGGAUUAGCUAGUUGGUGUGGUAAAGGCGCACCAAGGCGACGAUCCUUAGCUGGUCUGAGAGGAUGAUCAGCCACACUGGGACUGAGGCACGGCCCAGACUCCUACGGGAGGCAGCAGUGGGGAAUAUUGGACAAUGGGCGAAAGCCUGAUCCAGCAAUGCCGCGUGAGUGAUGAAGGCCUUAGGGUUGUAAAGCUCUUUUACCCGGGAUGAUAAUGACAGUACCGGGAGAAUAAGCUCCGGCUAACUCCGUGCCAGCAGCCGCGGUAAU
rnacentral:rRNA from 1 species